GAUGAACGCUAGCGGGAGGCCUAACACAUGCAAGCCGAGCGGUAUUUGUUCUUCGGAACAGAGAGAGCGGCGCACGGGUGCGGAACACGUGUGCAACCUGCCUUUAUCUGGGGGAUAGCCUUUCGAAAGGAAGAUUAAUACCCCAUAAUAUAUUGAGUGGCAUCAUUUGAUAUUGAAAACUCCGGUGGAUAGAGAUGGGCACGCGCAAGAUUAGAUAGUUGGUGAGGUAACGGCUCACCAAGUCAAUGAUCUUUAGGGGGCCUGAGAGGGUGAUCCCCCACACUGGUACUGAGACACGGACCAGGCUCCUACGGGAGGCAGCAGUGAGGAAUAUUGGACAAUGGGUUAGCGCCUGAUCCAGCCAUCCCGCGUGAAGGACGACGGCCCUAUGGGUUGUAAACUUCUUUUGUAUAGGGAUAAACCUACUCUCGUGAGAGUAGCUGAAGGUACUAUACGAAUAAGCACCGGCUAACUCCGUG
rnacentral:rRNA from 1 species